GGUUUUUUGGGAAUUUUUAUUACUGCUAAGCAGGUUAAUGAGAACAAUAAAUUUCACAGGAUGGGAGACAGCAAUCCAAACAUCUCUCAGCUAUUUACCCAAUAAAUACAGUAAGCACCUAUACAUACAUGUAUGGCAGUACCCUAGUAUAUACUGUACAUUCACAAAGUGGUGAUUAAGCCUAGUUUCCAUUUGGUCAUUAGAACAGUAGAUGUGAAAUAGUCUAAUAUCAAUAGUCUUUUUGUGUGUUAUAUGCAAAUCAGUCUUAAGGAUUGCAGAGUUUUAUAAAGUUUUGUUGACACUCUAUUACAUCAGCCACUUGUCGUGCCAGCGACAACUAACAACCAAUUAUCCACACAAAUCUUUAUACCAUAAACCUCUGACUAUAAAUGCUGGGCUUAUAUACUUUCAUAAGCAAUUUUUGAUGGGCUUAUACAAGGAAGGGGGGGACUUAUAUACAGGGGGGGGGGUAUGCAUGGACAAUCUUUUGUCUUUAUAAACAAGUCGGGCAUAAACAGGAAUAUAAACAUGUAUCAAGCAGCAUCACUGGGCUUAUAUUAAUUUGGGGGACUUAUAUUCGGGGUGUGUGUUAUAUUCAGUGGGCUUAUAUUUGGAAUGUGGUGAGCGUUAGCACAUGUGGUGGGCUUAUAUUCGGGGGGCUUAUAGUGGAGCGUUUACGGUAUUUACCCAUGUAACUUAUACCAGGCAGUACCCUAGUAUAUACAUUCAUGAACUUGUGGUUAGAGCUUGCUCAGAGCAAUGCACCAGAAUGGUAGGACAGCAGGUAUAAUUCCUGCCAGAGACCUAAAAUUGCAUUUUUCGCUUCUGUUGCAGCUAUAUGUCUAUUAUUAAUGUAGGUGGAAAUUGUAUGCUCAAUACUCAUUGAAUAUACAAUACUCAUUGAAUAUUAUUCAUUCAAGGGAGAUGUCACAAAAUUCUUUAUGUACAUGGCAGUACUGCCAGUACGCUAAUAUAUACAUACAUGCACUUGUGGUUAGAGCUUGACAACUGGCCUUUGUAGCUCAGUUGGUCAGAGAACUGCACUGGAAUCACAGCGCAACAGGUUUAAUUCCUGCCAGGAACCUAAAGUUGCAUUUUUUGCAAUAUUUACCCAUAUCCUAUAUAUGGCAGUACCGUAGUAUAUACAUUUCAUGAACUUAUGGAUUGAGCUCAACUGGCCUCUCUAACUCAGAGC
rnacentral:lncRNA from 1 species